ensembl:lncRNA
GUUCACUUAGCUGCCUCUUAAUACACAGAUAUCUGGUCUGUGAGCUCGCAUUAGGCAUUCCUUGCAUGCAUACUGAAUAUGUGCAGAAAUGUGCUCAUGCAGGCUUUGAUGUCUGCAGUAUGUAACAUCAUCUGUUCUCCGAUAAAAUUGUCCUCUGAGCUCAGGACCGCAUUUGGGGAUCCUUCUGCCUGCAGUUCUGACUUUGUGCAACAUCUGGGGAGUUUAACAUGUGCUCAGGAGGGCAGCAUGCUAUUAAUUGGACAUUAAGUGGUGGGCCAUGUCUGAGGCCAUUGCACGUUGUAUUAAUUACGGAGUGGCUAAUAACAACCUUCUGCCCCUGGUAUUUAUAGAAUAAUAAAAUCUGUCCCUGACACUGGCCUCACAUCUGGCAAAACUGGCAAACACAUUUUCAUUUACCUCCCUUUCUCAAGCGUGUUAAUAGCUUUCAGAUUUCCAGAGGAACAACUGGAGAUCUUAGAGCAAUACAGACUCAGUGCUAAUGGCUUCAGACUGAAGGCAGAGCUAAGAUUUUCACUUCAAACAGGGCUGGAUCCCCUAUUCCUCCCCUUGCCCUGUGUGACAUGGUGGAUAUGGGCAUGUUGUGCUGGAUGAGAUACUUACAAACACUGCAGUCCUGUUUUGGAAACAUUCCCCUGUGCUAUUACAUCAAAUACAAGCAAGCAUGGCUGUAACCAUUGGUAUUUCCAACCAGUGGGUUUCUGUGGGCUCUGGGACUGCAUCCCUGAGCUGCUGGGUGAUGGGAAAGUUCUGGAGAGCCUGUGAUGACGAGGAGGCAGGGGCUGACACAGAACUGCAGUGGGUGCAGUUCUUGCAGAUGUGGGUGGUCUCCUCCUGCAUGUUCCCGAAUUGAGCAACUUUGAAUCACUGGGGAAAAAGGAAAGAAACCCAUUCAUCCCGAAAUGUUUCCUUGCCUUGCUGUAGCUGCUGAAGAGCAUGGCUGGAGUGUAGCAACACGAAGACAGGAGUAGAAGAAAAUAAGGGCUCAAAAACAAUGGGGUCAGCUCAGUUUGGAGGGAGCAGACGAAGACAACACUUGCUUUAAUGCGCAGAAUUAUAUCAUCGGCAGCCAGAGGUCACAUCCUGCUGUCUUUUAAAAGAUAACUGCAGCCCCUCUCUGUUUCCCUGCUCCCUUAUAAACCUGGCUCGACCCAUACCCCGUAGCAGCAAGAGCGCACAGCCCAACAUCUUGGAUUAGUUAUGAGUGUCUCAGAUGCGCUCCAACUCAUAUUUCAUAUCAUUCCCCCAGCCAUAAGAUUUGAGUUUGUCACAUUUACUGGAGACUAAAGCACAAACAUGUUUUAUUCAUUAUCUGUCCUCGUCUCCGCAACAAGCACCUGCAAAACAUUUUGGCUCUCGACCGGAGCAACAAGGUUUCAUUAGACAUGACACUUUCUCCCUGGCUUGGAUGACGAAGCUACAUUUUAUCCCUCCACUUCCAGGCUGUGAAAUUGCCUGGAGAUCAUCACCUUGUACGAACGUGGACUCCGGAGACCUCUUGGCUGAAGUGGGAAAAAGGGAUCGAGGUGAUUACGUAGACCUGAUCUCUGCGAUCAGAGGGGUUUGGGGCAGCACUGAGCUGCUUUAGCCUUACAACAUCCAAAAGAAAGCCCAAUUCUGCAUCGUCAACAGGGAAAAAUGCCACGUGGAGGAGCAGAACUGUUGCAUGUUGUCAUACAGGGGAUUUGCAGGAUGUUUGGAGUGGAGAGCCCUUGUUAUUUUGAUUUUAGCCAGCAGCCGAUAUGGGAGCAGUGGUUCAAAGCUCCUCACCGACUCCUCUCUCCUGGCCAAUGAAUAUGGAUUGGAUGCAAAACAGAAGGGCUCACCGGGAGAGGGAGAGAAGCUGUUUGCCUUGCAAAAUUCAUCAGCCCGGUGCUCAGAUGAACGCUGGAAAUGAAGAAGUGAAAUUCAUGUCCCUCCUCUGAGCUCAGCCCAACAGAGCAGAGCACACGCUCUGGACCACGAGCAUCACCCCUUGCACUCCAGCUAUUAAUUUCCUCACAUCUGUUCUGCCAGCCUUCCCUGGGAUGGAGGGGCUGCCAGGAGAAGCCAAGCCACUGAGUUUUAUUCCUUUACAUGGAUCACAUUUAACGCUGCGUUGCUCUCUGCUUGCUGCCCUGCACAUAUGCUCCCCAGGAGGCAUUGUUAUGGUGCUUUCCCUUUAAUUAUCUUCACAAACGUACAAUUUUUCUCUCUUCACCUUCUCUCUUUCAUUUCCAAAGUCUUUAAUCACUUGUUUUCUUCUCGUUUCUUCUUGAUUUUUCUGACAUAUGCAAUAAAAACACCAGUAAAAUAUUCAUGAAGAAGCACUGAUCUCAGGUCUUUGAGAUCUCGCCGAUGGGAUGCGUAUGGCUGUGUAAUUAAAAGAUACUGUCAAUAAAGCAAGAUAUUGUGACACGCUAAUGGCACAGUGCCAUUUGAGGGAGGCCGGGGAGAUGCCAAAUCUGAUUCUGCAGUUAGUGUUCCAGCAGUUAAAGCCAUCAACCCAAGAAGGAAGCAGAGACAUCCCUACGCAAUGUCAGUUUGCGGCACAUAUUUAUUCAGUGCUAAAUACAGAAGCGACCUUUGAAUUAUUAAUAUAUCUCUUUGGAGGGUAAAAGCAUGAUGCAUUCCUUUGUGCCAUGCUUGAAGGGCAUGGUCAGUGGGUGUAGUGGCAAUGCUGAGUCAUGGCCUGCAGCAGUGAUGGAGCACCUGGGGGGAAGGCAGGGCCAGCCCAGGGCAGCUCAGGUGCAUGCAAUGUGCUGAGUGAUGGAAGGGCUGCAGCCAGGAUCCACCCCUUCCCAGUCCUCAUUUAAGGGUUGGCAGUGGAGGUGAGAGGUUCUUGCUGGAGGUCCCUGUGUACCUGAGGCCUUCUGAAGGGUAAGAAAGGAGAAGAAGUGGCUCAAAGGAUGCGGGUGAGGAGGCGGUUAUCAGUGCUGGGGUUCAGCUCAGGUCAUGCUGCUGGUGGGGACAGUGACUGGUUGGUAUUUCCCCCCCUCCAAGGAGAGCCAGAAGAGGUAAAAGCAUUUGGCCUUUGGGAAGGCAGAGGCUGUCAGAGGUGCAUUUCUCAGCUCACCAUACGUCAGUGCCUUGUCUUGAAGGGAGAGAGUGGGGUGCUUGCAGAAGUUGGGAGGAUGACUCCAAACUAGAGAAAUCUGUAUCAAAAUCCUUAUGGCCAUCACAGUGGUGUUGAGGUAUCUUCCCCUGGGUGGGAAUGUAAUCGUGGGUCCCAUGGAAACACUGAUUUGAGAUUUUUAUUGCAAACAUUGUCUACCAGGAAUGAAAGAAUGGGAACUGCAGAAGGCAUUUGCAGACCAAAGCCAGGGGAUUUCUUGUGGCUUAAUAUAAACCACAUCCUUUCUCUCACAAAAUAUGCACGUCUGCCAGGAUGACUUUCCAUCCACCUGUGCUUGUGUCACUUCAAAUUGAAACUCCUUCCCCAGAAGAGUGACUCUGCAGAUAUGUGUAUACAUAUGGGACUAUAUUUGCCUGUUUGUUUUAUGUAAUAUCUAUGCAAAAUACUUGUAGUUAUUAGGGGAAAAGCACACAGGAAGGGGUCAGCCUUUUCUGUAAGGGGAACUUAGUUUGGAUUAAGGAAAGGAGUGACCUGAAAGCAGGAUUGCUCUCCCCAAAGACCCCCCUGAUGGAUCCAGGAGUGCUGCACUGCGCUGGUGCCACAGGGAGAGGAUGGGAUGGAGGGAGCUAUGCGUGUUCCCCUCAGCAUCCCCAGCAGGGAAUGGUUCUGGCUGGGACUGGGCUGGUUUGUGUCCAGGUUACAUCAGCUCAGAGCAACCUUGGCUGUAAACAGGAAUAAACACAUCCAUGUAGUAAUUUAUGCAUAAAUUAAUUUGACUUCAGUAAUUAGCCAGAAGGAAGUUUACCCUAACCAGUAAACCUCAGUGGAUGGGGAAUUCAUUAAGCAUCUCUGCUUUGCCAAGUGCAGGGCUAGUUUUGCAAUUCAAAGAUUUCAUUUUUAAAUUGUAUUUUGUUCAGCUUUUGGGUUUAUUUUUUGGCAGGGGAAAAUCUCUCACCUCCAAACUCCAACUCAAUGCAACAGAGAAGAGUCUGCAGCACUGGGGCUAACUCCUUCUCUCAGGGCUUUGCCCAGGAGCCUCAUGGGCUGGUGGUACCCAGACAGCCUCAAAGCAGCCAUGGGCUGCUGACCCGAGCAGCUGGGUGCCCAUGAAGAUGCACUGUUUGCUGGGUGGGCUUCUGGAGAGAGCAGGAUGCUGCGCUUCCCUGCUUUGUGCUCAUCACUGUGGCCCCACAAAUCAGCACAGCCGGAGGCCAGGGAAGAUUUCUUUGAUUGCCUUUUACUUCACUCCAUUGCAUUUCUUACUCAGUUUUCUUGGCUGGAUAUAAAGCCUGGUGCUGGUGGGGUGUAUUGCCAGCAGGGAGCAAGGGGAGCUUGCAACCAGCAGGCAGCAUUGCAAUGCAGCAAGUGGCAGAAACUGAAAUGUGCUUCCGCAAGGACCACACUGAGGAAGAAGAGGGAGAAACUCAGCAAACUUUCGGGGUUAACAUCAGAUCCCACCCUCUUUUGGCUUGUGGGAGAGGGUUGUACGUGCAGGCUGCUGCCAGAAGGCAUCAGAGGGGGAUGGGAAGGAGCUGCAGAUGGGUGCAGUGGCAGCGCACCUCUUACAGCACAGAGCAGCCCCAGACCUCACUGCCAUGGCCAGCAGCAACAAAAGACACCACUGAUAUUUUCAUAAUCCUUUCCCCCACCUCCUCUUUUAUCCCAGAGCUGAAAAAAACAGCAACAGAAAGAUGCUUUACUGUGCAGGGUAAACCCUGAGCCACAGAACUGUGGGGUCAUGGGUGGGAGAGCUCACCCCUCUCCUGCGUAGCCUCAAAUGGGAUUCUUUUUAAUAAUGGUUUGGUAAUGGGAGUGUUCCUAUUUGCAUGCUGCAGCACAUUGAGGUUUUCCAAAGGAGAUGCAGAGAGGGGGUCUCAGUUGUGCUCAUAAAGUCUGGGAAGUCAGAAAAUUCAGAUUUGACCUCAGGGAAAUGAGGAAGAGGUGGAAUCCAUUAAGAAGUCGUGGCCAAAUCACUGCACUGAGUUUAAAAGUUGUGUUCAAUCAGUUGGUGGUGGUGGCUUUGGGAAAGGGCUGGAAGUCAGUUUUUGGUGUUAAUGGUUUUUCUUUCCCAGAGGCAAUCUGAUCUGAUGUUCUGUUUGUCCCACAGCACAGUGCAGCCCGGCAGCUUCACUCGGGCUGCAAGAGAGUUGGAGGUCUUCAGCCAGGCACCUCUGGUUUGCUCAGAGGACUGCCUGAUACCCACUGCCAGUUGCAUGGGGGUGAAGGAGGUUUGUGUGUAGAAUGUCUGACACCGAUACAGGUGAGGAGGGAAGCAGUGCCUGGAGGUGCUGAGGUUGGUGAAGACUCUGCAGGAGGGGAGCAGCGCCGGGAGCGGAGCCCUCCCUGCAUCACCUGCACGUUCUCAUCUCGAGAUCCGCGGGGAACGCGAAGAAGCCGCCUUAGGAUGCGGGCAAAGCGUUGGGCAUCGGGAUCUGCUCCGGGCAUCCCCAGGAAGGGGCGGGAGGAGCUGUGUGUGCAUUCCAAGGGCUGCACUGCCACCUCCAGGUCUGCACAGCCCCACACAGCUGCGGCUCCGGCGCCGUCCCCGUUCAGCGCUGCAGAGGGGUUGGAGAGAGGAGCGCUCAACUAUUUGCGAUGAUUUCUUUUUUUCUUUCCUUUUUAAUUGUAGAUGAAAGACCGCACGAUGUCUCUUUCCGUAUGAAUUUCUCAUUGCAGAAUGACGGCGCAUCGAUGUGAGAAACCGGGCGUUUCUAUGAGAUGACGGCAUUGUUUUUUUUCUGCCCUGCCAGAACAGUGCUGUCCUCCUCCUGCAUGGCCAUCUCCUCGCCUAUGAGCAUCGCAUUGCUGCGGGGCAGCUGCGUGCGGGGUUGCGUUGGCCCCGCGCACCGGGAGGUGGCACUGCAGCCGCAGCUUUGCGUGCCUAUGCACAGGUAAAGUGUGUUUUACUGGGAAAACAGUGGGAAGGAGCAAAACGUGGGAGCGUGGAGCAAGGAGGGUUUCCCUGGCACUUGUUUUCCACCUUUGUGAUGCCCUGGGAAAAGUUCUAAGCAAGCAUUUUCCUCCCCAAGUUCUACUCUGCAAAGUGUGCUCCUCAAGCAAAGCACAGAGAGAAGGAAGGCGUUGACAAAUGACACCCAGAAGUGUAGAAAAGAAGAAAACAAACAACGCAACCCCUUUUCUGCAGCUCCCCUGGGAGGAGUGCAAAAGUUGGGAGAUGCAUCAAAUUUCCAUCUCGUAUCAUUCUAACUGUUCUGGGUAAUGGGCCACAAGUCACCACUGACUUAAUGUCAAUCUCAGGGUGAAAUAUCCAGGCAAUGAGACAUGAUGGAGGAGGCUGGUGAGCCAUCACUGCACCUAUGGGCUGUCACGUUGCCAUUGAGUGCCCGCCAGCUUUUGUUGAAUGGAUGAAACUCAUCCACUUUGGCAAGCAUCCUUAAAGUAGGAUAGAACUAGGAGGGCCUGUUGGAUGCAGGAGAAAGGACCCAAGGAGAUGGGGAGCUGUCAUAGAUUCCAUUACAAAAUGGUGUGGAGAUGCCUCUGAAUCUUGGUCAUCCCCAACCUCAACCAUCCUCAAUCUCAAUCCUCAACAUUUCCAAGCAGGAAAGAAGAGCAGGAAAACUCAGCUCCCAGCCCUCUUUUUGUCUUAUGUUGACCUUCAUGGUGCCUUUCCCAAAUGUAAAAUUUGGGAAACCUUGAUGUUCCAAAAAAAAAAAUAAAGUCUAAGUGAGGUUGAUGUACCUUCAUAAUUGCACCUGUAAGCAAGGGGAGCAUCCUGCUGUGUGCUGCUUCCUUGCUGUGGUGUAGUACUUUGGUGGGUGGAUUUGAGCUUUGAGAACGCAGUGCAGAAGGAACAAAAAGAAAAGAUGAAGCUGGUCUCGCAAUGGAAGAUUUUUUCUGCUUUUCAGUGAUUUGAAAAGUUUGGCCUGAAUGUCAAGAAAAAAGAGGGAAAAAACCCAACCCAUGCAUUCUCCUAAUUUCAGCACAUUACCCAAUGAUUAAACAAUCUGGACCACUCCGUAUGACUGUAUUCACCACACAAAGAGGGCUACAAAUAAUAGCAACUUAACGGAGGUGACAUCUCCAAGCCUCUUAGGAGGCUAAUUCUAUAACAACAUUAAUUCAACAUAAUGCGUUCAUGAAUAGAGAUUGGGUUAAUGCAGGUUUUUCAAGUUAGGCAGCUUAUUCUUGCCGAUCUUCAUUUAACUAAGUGCCUGAUCUGGAAAACGCCGUGUCUGAGCUGAGGAUGCACAGGGAUGGCAUCAAAAGCACAGUCUUCAAGCAAGAUGG